UACGAAGGGGGCUAGCGUUGCUCGGAAUCACUGGGCGUAAAGCGCACGUAGGCGGCUUCUUAAGUCAGGGGUGAAAUCCUGGAGCUCAACUCCAGAACUGCCCUUGAUACUGGGGAGCUUGGGUCCGGGAGAGGUGAGUGGAACUGCGAGUGUAGAGGUGAAAUUCGUAGAUAUUCGCAAGAACACCAGUGGCGAAGGCGGCUCACUGGCCCGGUACUGACGCUGAGGUGCGAAAGCGUGGGGAGCAAACAGG
rnacentral:rRNA from 1 species